rnacentral:lncRNA from 1 species
GCGAGCGCUCCAGGGCGGGCUUGGAAAUGGAGACAAACUCCUCCGAGCCGUUGACGCUCAGCCGGACAGGGCUUAGGAGUCCCGAGCCCAGUCCUGUUCACCCCCAUUUUAUAGAAAGGGAAACUGAGGCCCAGACAGGGGAAAGUCACUUGCCGAGGUGUUUACUGCAGACUGCGUUGACCGAACCUGCUUUUUCACAGCAGUCAGACAGCAAGCCCUCUCGUCCCUCCAGGACCCUAGUUCCUGGGGAGGAAGGCGUUCUCAGCGAUAAUGACCAGCAUUAAAGUGCUCCCCGUUACCGGCGUCACUGCCCCAGCCAGUGGAGGCCCCGGAGAGGGACUGAAGAUGUGUCACCUAACUUCUCUGAACCUUCCUCCCUCAAGGAGAACUGAUAAUCCCUAACUCACAGUUCUGUGAGGAUUGAAUGCUUUAAGCAUGCAGGUUAAGUGGCUACUGAAGGCAGUUUUUGUGGACAGAUGAUUUGGGAGCCUGGAGGAAGGGUUACGUGCGCGCGCGCGUGUGUGCGUGUGUGUGUGUGUGUGUGUGCGUGUGUGUAAGAAUCCUUCCGUAAGAGGACAUCUGAGGUGUCUUAGGAGAGUAGGAGUGGACAACAGCAUCCAGGCAGAAGGAGCAGCUUCCCAAGGAUAGAAGGUGGAGCAGCCUGGCCAGCAGGGAUCUGAAGCCCAGAGAGAGGAAGCCACUGGCUCCAAGUCACAGAGCAGAAACUGGUCCCAGCGUCAGAUCUGCGAUGCUGCCCAGGCAUGGUGGUGACCCUCUCUAAACAAGCACACUCAGAAUUUCCCUGGCUCAGCUGGGCGACUCAGAAGAAAACUGGCCAUCAGCUUCUGCCUCAAGCGGGUGCUGUGGCAAGGAAGACAGAGCAUGUGUGUUGUGAACACUCAUUAUAGGAUCAUCCCUGCUGUGCCAGGUGCCUGGUGCUGGAUGCAGAAAGCAGGACACAUGGAAAGAUGGUGUGUUCACAAAGAAUUUGGAAGAAAGCCAGAUGGUGACAAGAGUGUGUCUCUGAAUGCCCCUUUUGGGGGUCACUAAAAAUGCCCCAGGGUUUUUAGUUAGACCAAUAAGGAGGCUUCAAAGAAAUGACAUCUGAGCCGGGUUGUGAUACAUCUAGGAUGUCAACAGGCAGAGAAAGGGCAGGGACUGGGAGUAAGGAAAGAACAUCUGUUCAAGGCACAACACUGAUUACCAAAGUUUCUAUCAUCCUUAUGUUGACAACGGACAUAAUUUUAACCUUUUGUAUAAGCCAGACUGUGAAGGAUUAUUAGCAGAAUAAAAGCAUCUAUUGGGCCUGGUGCAGUGGCUCACGCCUGUAAUCCAAGCACUUUGGGAGGCCGAGGCGGGCGGAUCACCUGAGGUUGGGAGUUAGAGACCAGCCUGACCAACAUGGAGAAACUCUGUCUCUACUAAAAAUACCAAAGUAGCCGAGCGUGGUGGCGCAUGCCUGUAAUCUCAGCUACUCGGGAGGCUGAGGCAGGAGAAUCGCUUGAACCCAGGAGGCGGAGGUUGCGGUGAGCCGAGAUCGUGCCAUUGCACUCCAGCCUGGGCAACAAGAGCAAAAACUCUGUCUCAAAAAAAAAAAAAAAAA